GAUGAACGCUAGCGGCAGGCCUAACACAUGCAAGUCGAGGGGUAGCAGGAUUAAGCUUGCUUAAUUGCUGACGACCGGCGCACGGGUGCGUAACGCGUAUGCAACCUACCUUAUACUGGGGUAUAGCCCGGAGAAAUUCGGAUUAAUCCCCCAUAGUACUAAUGAAUCGCAUGGUUUAUUAGUUAAAGCAUUGCGGUAUAAGAUGGGCAUGCGUCCUAUUAGCUAGAUGGGUAGGUAACGGCUCACCAUGGCUACGAUAGGUAGGGGGGCUGAGACAGUGGACCCCCACCGUGGUACUUAGACACGGACCAGACUCCUACGGGAGGCAGCAGUGAGGAAUAUUGGUCAAUGGGCGCAAGCCUGAACCAGCCAUGCCGCGUGCAGGAAGAAUGCCCUAUGGGUUGUAAACUGCUUUUAUUUGGGAAUAAACCUCUUUACGUGUAGAGAGCUGAAGGUACCAAAUGAAUAAGCACCGGCUAACUCCGUGCCAGCCGCCGCCGUAA
rnacentral:rRNA from 1 species